CGCUAGGAUGAACGCUAGCGACAGGCCUAACACAUGCAAGUCAGGGGCAGCACAAGGAGCAAUCUGAGGUGGCGACCGGCGCACGGGUGAGUAACACGUAUGCAACCUGCCUGUAAGCGGGGAAUAACCCGUUGAAAGACGGACUAAUACCGCAUAAUACUAAAUUACUGCAUGGUAAUUUAUUUAAACAUUUAUGGCUUACAGAUGGACAUGCGCAUGAUUAGCUAGUUGGAGAGGUAACGGCUCCCCAAGGCAACGAUCAUUAGGGGUUCUGAGAGGAAGGUCCCCCACACUGGUACUGAGACACGGACCAGACUCCUACGGGAGGCAGCAGUGAGGAAUAUUGGUCAAUGGACGAGAGUCUGAACCAGCCAAGUCGCGUGCAGGAAGAAUGUCCCUAUGGAUUGUAAACUGCUUUUGCAGGGGAAUAAAGUGCAUCACGUGUGAUGUUUUGUAUGUACUCUGCGAAUAAGGAUCGGCUAACUCCGUGCCAGCCGCCGC
rnacentral:rRNA from 1 species